AUUGAAACUUCGAGAUUGCUCGCUUCCUGCUUACUGUCCGAAAAUACAUAGUCUUCCGGGUGGAAAAUAACAACAUUGAUAAACCCAGCGAAGGAAAAUGGAGGAUGUUUCAUCAUCUGAGAACAAUCUGAAGUUCUCAGACAACUGAGCGGAUAUUAAGGCCAUUGUUUAUGCCCCCAGCAGACUGACGAAUCUUUUACAAACAACUCGAUAGAUGUGUCACAAGUAGGGCGAGAUUUCCUCACAAUGCCACCCCCGCCUCCACCACCCCCACCCCCUUCUGCUCCAGCUGCCCCACCUCCGGCGAAGGCGCCCCCAAAGAGUAAAGGAGGGGGAGGAGGGGCGGUUAGUCGGGGGGCUCUCCUCUCGGAAAUUCACACAGGGGCAAGGUUGAAGAAGACCGUCACCAAUGAUAGGAGCGCUCCGGUGGUGGGAAGUAAGUAUAUUAUGCAACUACAGUAAAACAGGGAUAUUACAAACAAGCGUUAAGUGAAUUAAUGAUUACGGCGAAGUGAUUUUUCAUUCCCUGUAAAUCUAAAUGUUGUAAACUUGACGUAUAUAACGAAUUACGCUUACAACGAAGCAAAAUCACCCAUCCCUGGGACUUUGUUAUAAGUGUGUUUUUACUGUACAUCGAUAAUGUGCAGCUGCAAAAUUUUGUUGAAGUGUUACUCACAGAUGUGUUUUGUAAAUUUUUGCUAUUUUUUUAGAGGUUUUCUUUUAUAGCACAUACUAACUGAUGAGUUUAUUUUUCCUGAUUUGAAAAUCAUUGCAAAAGUGUGUAGAAUUUGUCAU
rnacentral:misc_RNA from 1 species